CGCAGCGGUAAUGAUUAUAUCUGGGGGGUAAAGCACUGUUUCGGUGCGGGCUGGGAGACCGGUACCAAAUCGAGACAAACUCUGAAUACCCAGAGCACACAUUGCCAGUGAGACAGUGGGGGGAUAAGCUUCAUUGUCAAGAGGGGAAACAGCCCAGGCCACCAGCUAAGGUCCCCAAAUCACAACUCAGUGAUAAAGGAGGUGAGAGUGCCCAGACAACCAGGAGGUUUGCCUAGAAGCAGCCAUCCUUAAAAGAGUGCGUAAUAGCUCACUGGUCAAGCGCUCUUGCGCCGAAAAUGAACGGGGCUAAGUUGUGUACCGAAGCUGUGGGAUUUAUCUAUCGAUGAAUCGGUAGGGGAGCGUUCUGUUGUAGUUUGAAGCAUCAGCGAGAGCAGGUGUGGACGAAGCAGAAGUGAGAAUGUCGGCUUGAGUAGCGCAAACAUUGGUGAGAAUCCAAUGCCCUGAAAUCCCAAGGUUUCCUCCGCAAGGCUCGUCCACGGAGGGUGAGUCAGGACCUAAGGCGAGGCUGAAGAGCGUAGUCGAUGGACAAUCGGUUAAUAUUCCGAUACUGAUGUUGGAUUGUGCAGAGGGACGGAGAAGGCUAACACAGCCGCAUGUUGGUUCGCGGUUCAAGUGUUCGAGGUGAUGAGAGUCGGUGAAAACGACUUGAGCUGAGACAUGAGUACGAGAGUUUACGGACUCGAAGUGUGUGAUGUCAAGCUUCCUAGAAAAGCUCUAAACACGUUAAUCCAAGAUUACCUGUACCCUAAACCGACACAGGUGGGAAGGUUGAGAAUACCCAAGGGCGCGAGAUAACUCUCUCUAAGGAACUCGGCAAAACUGGCCCCGUAACUUCGGAACGAAGGGGUGCCCCACCUAAGACGUGGGUCGCAGUGAAGAGACCGAGGCG
rnacentral:rRNA from 1 species